rnacentral:rRNA from 1 species
GUAGGUGGCAAGCGUUGUCCGGAAUUAUUGGGCGUAAAGCGCGCGCAGGCGGUUCUUUAAGUCUGAUGUGAAAGCCCACGGCUCAACCGUGGAGGGUCAUUGGAAACUGGAGAACUUGAGUACAGAAGAGGAAAGCGGAAUUCCACGUGUAGCGGUGAAAUGCGUAGAGAUGUGGAGGAACACCAGUGGCGAAGGCGGCUUUCUGGUCUGUAACUGACGCUGAGGCGCGAAAGCGUGGGGAGCAAACAGGAUUAGAUACCCUGGUAGUCCACGCCGUAACGAUGAGUGCUAAGUGUUAGGGGGUUUCCGCCCCCCUUAGUGCUGCAGCUAACGCAUUAAGCACUCCGCCUGGGAGUACGGCCGCAAGGCUG